rnacentral:rRNA from 1 species
GACGAACGCUGGCGGCGUGCUUAACACAUGCAAGUCGAACGGAAAGGCCCCAGCUUGCUGGGGUACUCGAGUGGCGAACGGGUGAGUAACACGUGGGUGAUCUGCCCUGCACUCUGGGAUAAGCCUGGGAAACUGGGUCUAAUACCGGAUAGGACCGUGCUUUAGUGUGUGCGGUGGAAAGUUUUUCGGUGCAGGAUGAGCCCGCGGCCUAUCAGCUUGUUGGUGGGGUAAUGGCCUACCAAGGCGGCGACGGGUAGCCGGCAUGAGAGGGUGGACGGCCACAUUGGGACUGCGACACGGCCCAGACGCCUACGGGAGGCAGCGGUGGGGAGUAUUGCACAAUGGGCGCAAGCCUGAUGCAGCGGCGCCGCGUGGGGGAUGACGGCCUUCGGGUUGUAAACCCCUUUCGGCAGGGACGAAGCUUUUGUGACGGUACCUGCAUAAGAAGCACCGGCUAACUACGUG